GUGAAAAUGUCCCUAAAUGCAGGCAUACUACUAUAUCCCUGAUGAACGCUGAUUAAGUUUUGAGUCACAUUCUCUUGAUGAAUAAGCUACUCCACUAGUCUUUUCCUUCAGCAACCUGAUGUGCGGAGUUGACCCCUUCCAACUUCCUUCUCGAAGCUGAGAAAACCGCAGGACCCUAAGCAACUCAAAACCUGAAGAAGACUGAAGAAAGCUAAAGUUCUCCUGUUCUCACAAAUUCUACCCUGCCUUGCCCUGAAUGAGGGACAUUUCCAUCAAUAAGAAGAGAGGCCUAUACCAUUGAGCUUUGGGACUAGGGUUACAUUCCUCCCUUGGGCCAAAACUCUUUGUAGUCCCUUGCAAAGAUCAGCUGGAGCAAGCCUAAAACCUGUGAUUUUUCCACAAUCGAAAUACAUCAAGGCAGAAGAUACUUCAAGAUCUGCUAAUACUACCUGCAUCAGAAUAACUUCUGUAAAAGGGGCCAUCAACUAAUUUUGGCUUUCAGGCCAGUCUAAGAGGUGUAGACAAGACAUAUUCAGAAGGUGACCAAUCAUCAAACUCAAGGUGGACAUGUCUGAGUUUGAAGACAAUCUUGUGAGUUAGAGAGCCAAAGGUCCUGGGUCACUGGAAAGAAGCUGACAAGCAGCAAAAACAACUUCAUCACUGGGGAGAAUGACAACCUACAAGAGGAAGACACCAAGGCCCUGCUCUGUUUGACCAGAAGACAUGGACUGGGAGUUGUGAGAACAGGGAAGAGCUGAGGUGAAUGUAAAAUGUAUUACCAACAGUCAGUGCUUUGGUACUCAUGGGUUUAAGCCUCAGCCUUCUUGUGCUGUCAAUGCAUGACAAGAGUCUUUCAUGUCUUCUAGCAUUUCUUUUCACUGUGGAAAACCUGUCCCAUAUUUGAUUUAAAUUAUAUGUUGAUUACCUUUCUACUCUGCUUUUUGGGGAGAUAUAGAUAUGAACCAAAACCUAAACUUUAAAUAAUUUGUCCCCAAAGUGCUGGGGCUGCAGUCUAAACAGGUGAAGAGUGUCAGAAAAGGACCCUCGUCCUCCUCUCAUUAGAGGCCAGUUGUCAUCAGGACUACAUGCCUGAAUGUGGAGCAGAUGGGAACCUUAGAGAAAGAGGUUAGGCAUAGAGCCAGCCCUUGAGUUCAGCAACCAUUUUUUUAAUGCUGCACUUAUAUAAUCUUUCCUGGGCCAGACCUUCCAGGAAUCUGAAGGCCUGGUUGUAGGUUAGAAUUUCUAUUGCUGACUAAAGCCACCAGCAAGAGUUUUUGGGACUCUAGCACUAAUAGAUCUCUUAGUAGGUAGGCAUCAUUCCCUCCAAUGAACAGAGCUUUUACAGAAAACAAAUUGCAAAUAAGAAAGGCUGGUUUUCCCUCUUGGAGUGAAUUACUUUAUGGGAGUAGGGAGGUAGGACUGAGAUGGCCAGAAAGGUGGUCUGCCUCACCCUAAAACCCAAUUUAGAGGGUUAAGGAAAGGGUAAGGAUAUGGGUCACAGGCUAGGGAUGCUGGAAAAAAAACCUCCAGAAGACUUGGGCUGCAGGAGUGGCCAUGAGGGAAAUAAGGAACAAGGGACUGGCCUUCUCUAUACCCUUGAUAAUACUAGUUCUACCUAUUCGACACAUACACUGGACUAUCCCUGGGCCAAGUGAGAAAUGGAAGUGGGAGUGGGCUUGGUGAGGCACCAAGAAGCCAAGAGGGAUAGGGACAGGAUUUGGAUUUAGAAAAUCCAAAGCCAAGGCAACAGCCAAGAGGCAAAGGAAGUUGUAGCAGCCACUAACCCAGCAUGUAGUAUCUCAUAGCACUCAGGGUAAAUAUGCAAGCUAAGCUCUAAUAACAAUCUCAAGUGUCACUUGGGAGAGAUAAUAUACUAAGCCAUUAACAAACAUUAACACUUUAUGAAAAAUGUAUUUUUCCAUUGGCAGAGAGCUGACUCUCCAGUUCAGCCUUCUUCCAUUCCAGGGGUUACCUGACUAAUCUUAAGUACCAUGUUCCUCCUGUCACAUACUUCACUGCUCAAAAACUUGUGACUGUUCUUUAUUGCCUGCCAAAUUAAAUACAGAUUUCUCACUUUUCCAGGAAAUCCAUAGUUUGGUCUCACCCAACCUAUUCAACCUAAUUCCUCCCUACUAAGCCUUGCUCUUAAUUGAAAAUGAUAUAAUUAAUGCCUUCCUUCCCUCUCUUUGCUCCUUUUGUUCUCCUUCCUGUUAUCUACUUUGGCUUUUCCUCCUCAAACCCUGUUCCUCCUUCAAGUCCUAAUAACCACUCCCUAAAUAUUCCAGCCUAUCUUGCUAUCUCUCCCUUCCCUGAGCUCCUGCAGUAUUGCAAGUCUGUACCUCACACUAUUCCCCAAUCGUUUUAUGUAGGAUAGUCUUAUUUUUCCCAAGUAAAUGUCAUAUGGUCCUUGAGUAAGAGAACUAUGUCUCGUAUCCCUGUCAUCUUCUCUAGCAAUGCUGAACAGUGCUCACGAAAUAGCGAGGUUCAGGUAAU